UUAAAUACGAUUGGUUUCAAAUCGAGUGUGACUUGACAAUAAGUCACAAUGAAAUCUAAAAAUAUUUACAUCAGAAGAGAAAACAAACUUUUAAUAAAACAUCGGAGCAAAUACAUACAAGCAUACUACAUACUAUCCAAGUGUAUAUGCUCGUAUGGGCUUCAAAUGCAUAUCCCGAAAAUUGUUCUAGAGAUGAAUCAACGGCAAAUAAUAUAAUAUAAAUAGAAAAAACAGUGGAUAUUGAGUGACCAGACAUUAAUAAUCUUCGUUUCUCAUUGGAACUAUACUUAAAAAAGAUUGACUAUUUAGAGAAGCAAAAAAUGAAAAAAGAAAUUGGUAGACUGAAAUAUACUCGGGAAUCAGUUUCGAAAUUGAUCGUGUGUACUUGUGAGAUAUUCCUUUCGACAAACUCCCAGAUAUAUGAUUCCACUGUGUAGACGGGAAAGGGGGACUUAAUCCAUGUCACUUGAAUCUCGGAGACUUACAUGUGUAAGCGCUAUAAUUUCUGUUAUAAAACUAUAAUUAAUUUGAAGUUAAUUUUUGUAAACUGGCAAUCAAUAAUUUUUCUUAGCAAUUAUUAAAAUUUGAAGCAUAGUAUAGGAAGAAAUAAAUAUUCUAUAAUAUGCCCUCCGUGAUAGUGAGG